GAAAUAUAACCCAGAACUUCUAAUUCUUAAUUAGUGAUAAAAAUCAUUUAUAUUUCU
rnacentral:tRNA from 1 species